rnacentral:lncRNA from 1 species
CUAUCUAUAGUGUUGUAUAUCAGAACCCAUCCAGAACCCAUCUAUCCAUAGUGCUGUAUAUCAGAACCCAUCUAUCUAUAGUGCUGUAUAUCAGAACCCAUCCAGAACCCAUCUAUCCAUAGUGCUGUAUAUCAGAACCCAUUUAUCUAUAGUGCUGUAUAUCAGAACCCAUCUAUCUAUAGCGCUCUAUAUCAGAACCCAUCCAGAACCCAUCUAUCUAUAGUGUUGUAUAUCAGAACCCAUAUAGUGCUGUAUAUCAGAACCCAUCUAUCUAUAGUGCUCUAUAUCAGAACCCAUCUAUCUAUAGUGCUGUAUAUCAGAACCCAUCUAUCUAUAGUGUUGUAUAUCAGAACCCAUCUAUCUAUAGUGUUGUAUAUCAGAACCCAUCUAUCUAUAGUGCUGUAUAUCAGAACACCAUCUAUCUAUAGUGCUGUAUAUCAGAACCCAUCUAUCUAUAGCGCUCUAUAUCAGAACCCAUCCAGAACCCAUCUAUCUAUAGUGUUGUAUAUCAGAACCCAUAUAGUGCUGUAUAUCAGAACCCAUCUAUCUAUAGUGCUCUAUAUCAGAACCCAUCUAUCUAUAGUGCUGUAUAUCAGAACCCAUCUAUCUAUAGUGUUGUAUAUCAGAACCCAUCUAUCUAUAGUGUUGUAUAUCAGAACCCAUCUAUCUAUAGUGCUGUAUAUCAGAACACCAUCUAUCUAUAGUGCUGUAUAUCAGAACCCAUCCAGAACCCAUCUAUCUAUAGUGCUCUAUAUCAGAACCCAUCUAUCUAUAGUGCUCUAUAUCAGAACCCAUCUAUCUAUAGUGAUGUAUAUCAGAACCCAUCCAGAACCUAUCUAUCUAUAGUGCUGUAUAUCAGAACCCAUCUAUCUAUAGUGCUGUAUAUCAGAACCCAUCCAGAACCCAUCUAUCUAUAGUGUUGUAUAUCAGAACCCAUCCAGAACCCAUCUAUCUAUAGUGUUGUAUAUCAGAACCCAUCUAUCAAUAGUGUUGUAUAUCAGAACCCAUCUAUCUAUAGUGCUGUAUAUCAGAACCCAUCUAUCUAUAGUGCUGUAUAUCAGAACCCAUCCAGAACCCAUCUAUCUAUAGUGUUGUAUAUCAGAACCCAUCUAUCAAUAGUGUUGUAUAUCAGAACCCAUCUAUCUAUAGUGCUGUAUAUCAGAACCCAUCUAUCUAUAGUGUUGUAUGUCAGAACCCAUCUAUCUAUAGUGCUGUAUAUCAGAACCCAUCUAUCUAUAGUGAUGUAUAUCAGAACCCAUCCAGAACCUAUCUAUCUAUAGUGCUGUAUAUCAGAACCCAUCUAUCUAUAGUGCUGUAUAUCAGAACCCAUCCAGAACCCAUCUAUCUAUAGUGUUGUAUAUCAGAACCCAUCUAUCUAUAGUGUUGUAUAUCAGAACCCAUCUAUCUAUAGUGCUGUAUAUCAGAACCCAUCUAUCUAUAGUGCUGUAUAUCAGAACCCAUCCAGAACCCAUCUAUCUAUAGUGCUGUAUAUCAGAACCCAUCUAUCUAUAGUACUCUAUAUCAGAAC